CACGUAGGGCGCAAGCGUUGUCCGGAAUUAUUGGGCGUAAAGAGCUCGUAGGCGGACUGUCACGUCUGCUGUGAAAAGCUGGGGCUUAACCCUGGCCUUGCAGUGGAUACGGGCAGACUAGAGGUAGGUAGGGGAGAAUGGAAUUCCCGGUGUAGCGGUGAAAUGCGUAGAUAUCGAGAGGAACACCUGCGGCGAAGGCGGGUUGCUGGGCUGACACUGACGCUGAUGCGCGAAAGCCAGGGGAGCGAACGGG
rnacentral:rRNA from 1 species